rnacentral:lncRNA from 1 species
CCUAAGAGAAAGCACUGACUCACAGGCAGCAUGACCUGACAGGGUCGAGGGGAAAGCAAGACAGAAUGAACCACCCAUUCAACAUCAGCUGCUACUCAGCCAACUGCAGUGUGGACGCUCCAAGUCUUCCCCUAGCUGGGUAUCCAACUCCUCUCCCAGACUCAGCUUAACCCACACCAUCUCUCACUUCUCCUUCUCAGCUUCCUCAGCUCCUCUCCUUCCCCUGGAUUACUCCUGCCUCAUCAUGAAGUUCAGACAGUGUUUCCUUUGUAAAAUGUCCUCUGGCUGGGCUCAACACUGGCUGGUGUACAUUCCAGUGACCGGUUCCUUUUCUUCCAACAGUCAGGCCUUUAACUUCAACGGAACAGAGAGACACAACCACAUUCACAGCACAGCACAAAGCUGUUCUGGUCUCUGUGCCUGGCAGUGGCUGAGCACCAGCCACAGGCAUCUUGUCGUUGCACAGGAACAACAUCUGUGUUAUACGAUCCAGAAUGUCUUACUGUGAGCAGUUUCUAUGAGCUGAACUAAGCAACAAGCAUUGAGACAGCACAGCUUUCACUGUGUGAUAGGAUCACAUUCACUAUGGAAACCAAAAGCAGCCUCAAGCUUCUGCUCCCUCUGCCCAUCCUCCAGCUGGAAUUGUAUGCAGCCACCGCCACACCCAGGUCAAGUGGUGUCAGGAAUUGAAUCCAAGACUUCAUGCACAGUGGGCAAGAACUCAACUGAGCCACAUCCCUGUCCCUGCUCUCUUCCAGUUAGGUUUAACAAGCAGUCACACUGUGCUACGGCAGCUUUGUACCCAUGCUGGGAAAUAAGGCCCGGGGCCGACUGCAAAUAUCGAACACACUUAGCAACAGAGAAGACUAGUGAGAUCAAAGUCUGACUUAGAACAAGGCAGUAGACAGCUCCAAGCUACGCACUGCUUGGUCGUCUUCCCUACAGAAAAACUUCCAUUCAAGAUGCAUCUCUGUGCUCUACGCAGAGCACCAGCCCUCCGUUGACAACCCAUAGGCCUGGACAGUGCUUCUCCACCUUCCUAAUGCUGUGACCCUUUAAUUCCUCAUGCUGUAGUAAUCACCAACCAUAAAAUUAUUUCCACUGCUAAUUCAUAACUCUAAUGUUGCUACUACUAGGAAUCGCAAUAUAAAUAUUUUUGGAGACAGUUUUGCCAAAGGGGUUGUAACCCACAGGUUGAGGAUCACCGGGGAGAUAAAGACUAGGUUGCCUGCCUUCAGUGUGGCAACGGCAUUGCCGCUUCGCUACAUCCCAUCACACUGGGAGCCGCUCAUU